CUGGAGGAGAGAAAUAAAAAAGGGCAGCCAUUAUCAUUAUAUAUUCUUACACACACAUUCUGCAAAAAUGGGGGAUUUGACACAGACGGAGAGAGAAGAGAAAUGGAGGGCUGAUUUGCUGCUCAAAUUAAUAGAUAUACAAGCACAGAAAUUUAGGCAGCUUUGGUGGAAUUAAUUGGGUGCUGUCUGCCAAUAUCAUUGAAUUAUAUACAAACACAGCGGAGACUCGAGACAAGACGGAAACACGAAAAAAAAAGGGCAGAAGUUUUAUUAAUCACGUUCCGUCAAUAAAUCGGGUGAUGUCUUCUAUGAUAAUAUCUUGUUUUUCUCCUAUUAAUAUACGUAGCUAAAUUUAUUUUUAGGGCGAACAAUGUAAUUGAUUUGGG
rnacentral:lncRNA from 1 species